GGUUAUCAAUGGAUCUUCUUCAACUUCAGCUACUUUAUUAGCAGCUCCCAAGAGUACAGAGACUUCUGUAUCUCAGUGAAAAUUCUAAUCUCUGGACGAUUGAAUCAGGCCACUAUAUGUUCAAGAUAUAAAGUACUUUCAGCUUGCUUUGAA